AUAAAAGAAAAAAGCAAAAUAAGAGCGAACGGUGGAUGCCUAGGCUCUGGGAGGCGAUGAAGGACGUGAUAAGCUGCGAUAAGCUUCGGGUAGGUGCAAAUAACCAUUGAUCCGGGGAUUUCCGAAUGGGGCAACCCAAUACAGUGAAGCUGUAUUAUUCCAUGUUAUAUGGAAGGCGAACGAGGGGAACUGAAACAUCUAAGUACCCUUAGGAGAAGAAAACAAAAGUGAUUCCGCAAGUAGUGGCGAGCGAACGCGGAAUAGCCCAAACCAAUGAUGUAGCAAUGCAUUAUUGGGGUUGUAGGACUGCGAUAUAAAAGAAGUAAAUGAAUUAGAAGUGCGUUGGAAAGCGCCCCAGUAUACGGUGAUAGGCCGGUAUAAGUAAGUUUACGAUUUUUAGCAGUAUCCUGAGUAGCGCGGGACACGAGAAAUCCUGUGUGAAUCCGGCGGGACCAUCCGCUAAGGCUAAAUACUCCCCAGAGACCGAUAGUGAACCAGUACCGUGAGGGAAAGGUGAAAAGUACUUCGAACAGAAGAGUGAAAUAGACCCUGAACCCGUUCGCUUACAAGCGGUCGGAGCAGCUUUGUGCUGUGACGGCGUGCCUUUUGCAUAAUGAACCUACGAGUUACUCUCACUGGCAAGGUUAAGGUCUUCAGGACCGUAAGCCGAAGCGAAAGCGAGUCUUAACAGGGCGCUAUAAGUCAGUGUGAGUAGACGCGAAACCAAGUGAUCUACCCUUGAGCAGGUUGAAGUUUGGGUAACACCAAAUGGAGGACCGAACUGUUUGACGUUGAAAAGUCUUCGGAUGACUUGAGGGUAGGGGUGAAAGGCUAAUCAAACUUGGAGAUAGCUCGUACUCCCCGAAAUGCAUUUAGGUGCAGCCUUUAGAUAGUUUAUAAGAGGUAGAGCGACUGAUUGGAUGCGAGGGUUUCACCGCCUAUCAAGUCCUGACAAACUCCGAAUGCUUAUAAAUAUUUCUGAGGAGUGAGGGCGCGGGUGCUAAGGUCCGCGUCCGAGAGGAAAAGAAUCCAGACCACCGGCUAAGGUCCCCAAAUAUAUGCUAAGUUGAAUUAACGAGGUCGAACUGCACAGACAGCUAGGAUGUUGGCUUGGAAGCAGCCAUUCAUUUAAAGAGUGCGUAACAGCUCACUAGUCGAGCGGUUUGGCAUGGAUAAUAAUCGGGCAUAAGCAUAUUACCGAAGCCGUGGGAUCUAUAAAUUAGAUCGGUAGGGGAGCAUUCCAGUACAGCGUAGAAGGUUUAAGGAUAACUUAGACUGGAGCGGCUGGAAAAGCAAAUGUAGGUAUAAGUAACGAUAAGGAGGGCGAGAAACCCUCCCGCCGGAAGACUAAGGAUUCCUGAUCAACGCUAAUCGGAUCAGGGUUAGUCGGGGCCUAAGGUAUAGCCGACAGGCGAAGCCGAUGGAAGAACAGGUUAAUAUUCCUGUACUACGCUAUGGAGUGAUGUGGGGACGGAGAAGUGACAGUCCUGCCUGGUGACGGAAUACCAGGUUGAAGGGUGUAGAUAUUGAGGGGGGUAGGCAAAUCCGCUCCCUGAGUCGAACCUGAAAGUACCGUGCGUACUUGUACAAACGGAUAUGGAUGUAAACAGGCUCCCAAGAAAAACCGCUAAACGCUAAUUCAUAGUGUACCCGUACUACAAACGGACACACGUGGUCAAGUAGAGAAUACUAAGGCGCUCGAGUGAAUCACAGCUAAGGAACUAGGCAAAAUAGUCUCGUAACUUCGGGAAAAGAGACGCUUCCUCCAGUUGAUGGAGAAGCCGCAGAGAAAUGGCCCAGGCGACUGUUUAACAAAAACAUAGGGCUUUGCAAAUUCGAAAGAAGAAGUAUAAGGCCUGACACCUGCCCGGUGCUGGAAGGUUAAGAGGAGAUGUUAUUCGCAAGGAGAAGCAUUGAAUUGAAGCCCCAGUAAACGGCGGCCGUAACUAUAACGGUCCUAAGGUAGCGAAAUUCCUUGUCGGGUAAGUUCCGACCUGCACGAAUGGUGUAACGAUCUGGGCACUGUCUCAGCUGUGA
rnacentral:rRNA from 1 species